rnacentral:rRNA from 1 species
GAUGAACGCUGACAGAAUGCUUAACACAUGCAAGUCGACUUGAACUUCGGUUUGGGUGGCGGACGGGUGAGUAACGCGUAAAGAACUUGCCUCACAGAUAGGGACAACAUUUGGAAACGAAUGCUAAUACCUGAUAUUAUGAUUUUAGGGCAUCCUAGGAUUAUGAAAGCUAUAUGCGCUGUGAGAGAGCUUUGCGUCCCAUUAGCUAGUUGGAGAGGUAACGGCUCACCAAGGCGAUGAUGGGUAGCCGGCCUGAGAGGGUGAUCGGCCACAAGGGGAUAGAGACACGGCCCGUACGCCUACGGGAGGCAGCAGUGGGGAACAUUGGACAAUGGACCAAGAGUCUGAUCCAGCAAUUCUGUGUGCACGAUGAAGUUUUUCGGAAUGUAAAGUGCUUUCAGUUGGGAAGAAAAAAAUGACGGUACCAACAGAAGAAGUGACGGCUAACUACGUG